UGCCCCAUGGCUGAGUUGGUUACAGCGUCCGACUGUUAAUCGUUACAUCGGAAGGUCGAGAGUUCGAGCCUCUCUGGGGCAG
rnacentral:tRNA from 1 species